GGGGCUACUGUCUGUACAAGAAGUUAUCAAGUAGAAUAUCUUUUUUUUGAGUUCGUAAAUUAAGAAAUUUAUUGAUUGCUGUACUUCGGUCUGAAAUCAAUACAGAUAAGAAUCCCUUUAUAUGAUCAUCUGCAUGUAUAUUUUUGUACUAUAAUGAUCAUUUCUAGCUUUACAUUGAAUAUAUGAUUCCUUAUUAUAUGUAUCAUAUGCAUGUUGACUUUUUUUGUGGCUGAG
rnacentral:lncRNA from 1 species